CCAAGGCCUCCGCGUUUUAUUGAGGCUGAAGAGGGCAGUGCUGUCCAAUUGCCCUGCUUCGGUAAGAUUUUCAAAUCGAAGCCUGUGGAAGAGAUCACUGUUGAGUGGCAGCAUAACAAGCACCAGUUCUUCAGGCUGAGUUCAGGAGAGCUGGUGAUGACGAGAGAAGCGUACAUGGGUGACGAGGGGCAGGUCAGACUCGGAAACCUAUCCCUCACCAUUCCGGACAUCAAGCCCCACCACCAGGGCACCUACAAUUGUCUCUACCAUGGAAGUAACCAUGGAGACCUGAUUCAUGGCAUUCCAGACACAGUGACUCUCAUUGUGACGGGUUCUUCAGGAGCCAUGGAGGAACCAUCCCAGCUACCAUCCAUCAGCAGUGGGUCUUCGUGGAAUGAGGACCAAACAGAAAGUACAGUUAACGCUGUAGUCAGAAACGCCACAGUAACAACAAUGUUUAGUGACACAACAGACUCUACAGUCAACUCUACAGACUAUGAUAUUAUCUACAGCUCUACAGAAGACCCAACGUCCAGCAAUGUUGACCCAACAGUCAAUGCUAUAGUCUAUGAUAUCAUCUACAACUCUACAGAAGACACAACGUCCAGCAAUGUUGACCCCACAGUCAAUGCUAUAGUCUAUGAAAUCAUCUACAACUCUACAGAAGACACAACGUCCAGAAAUGUUGACCCCAAAGUCAAUGCUAUAGUCUAUGAUAUCAUCUACAACUCUACAGAAGACACAACGUCCAGCAAUGUUGACCCCAAAGUCAAUUCUAUAGUCUAUGAUAUCAUCUACAACUCUACAGAAGACACAACGUCCAGCAAUGUUGACCCCACAGUCCACCCUACGGUUGAUGAUAUCAUCUACAACUCUACAAAAGACACAACGUCCAGCAAUGUUGACCCCAAUGUCAAUUCUAUAGACUAUGAUAUCAUCUACAAUGCUACAGAAGAUGCAACGUCCAGCAAUGACGAUACCACAGUCAACGCUACAGUUGAUGAUAUCAUCUACAACUCUACAGAAGAUGCAACGUCCAGUAAUGACGACCCCACAGUCAACGCUACACUCUAUGAUUCAAUUUACAGAUCUACAGUAGAAAGAACAUCCAGCAGUGUUGACACUUUAGUAGACAAUGUGGUCGCCACCACGGCCAACUCCAUCUACACCUCUACUGAUGGCACAGUGUCCAGCACACUCAAUCCACCAGUGAACAUCGCUGUCCACCCCCGCAUAAG
rnacentral:lncRNA from 1 species